CUCUCUUAAGAGAGUUACAAAACGUCCAUGAUAGCCUUUAUAUAGGCUUUACACUUUGUAAAAUCAUAAACCCUUAAUCUAAUGGAUAGAAAUGACUUGAGAUGAAUGGAUGGCUAGGAUGGAGUUUUCUUGUUUGCAAUCUGAGUGAAUUGAUCUGAUUGGAGUAGAGAAUGCUGGCUGGUGAUUGGUUGAUUCAAACUGGUCAAGGCAAGGGCUGGCUCCUGAUUGGUUCCCUUAAAGCUCCCAUGAACCUUUUUCACAAAGAUGGCUAGAUACAUGGUCAAUGCUGCUUUUCCUUUACAGCUCAAAGACAGCCUGUCAUUGACCACGCCCUAGCUGUCCCUUAUCCACAAAUAGCCACAAGAUAACUCAGGUUUGUCUUCUCUUGCGCCCUAAGUUUGCACAGCUUCAUUUCAGCUUGAUCCGGAACAAGUACGGACGAAGGUACGGACCGCCUGUCCGUACCUCGCCCUAAGUUUGCACAUCUCACCAAAACAUCUCCAAUGGUUGAGUGUGAUCAGGUUCUGGGUCGCCCUAAGUUUGCACGGUUCAUCCGUACCGUCUGAACCUUGGGACGCCCUAUCUUUGCACCAUCACCCAACUAUCUCCAAAUGGUGUCUAAGUCCCUCCUGGACUUAAACCCUAUCUUUGCACAGCCUUCAUGAUACUUCUAGACUUCUCUAAACUCUCAUGAAGCCUUGAUAGACAAUCUCUUAAGAUCUUGUCCCUAUCUUUGCACCAGACCCAAACUCCUCCAUACUUCUCUUAUGGCUCCAUUUCUUUCUUCAAGUCAACACAUGAUGUUUCAAUCCAAUGUGCCUAAGAAGUUUUGGAGUGAUGCUGUUGCUACAGCAUGAUGAUGUUUCAAUCCAAUGUGCCUAAGAAGUUUUGGAGUGAUGCUGUUGC
rnacentral:lncRNA from 1 species